AGAACGGCCUCCUGAACUCAGCCAAGUGCUGCGGGUGUGAGAUGUGCUGAACUCCUCAUGGGCCUCUGCACUGUGGUUUACUACUUCACCGCCGGACAACUCCUCUGGGGGGACUGGCCCUGGCUGUGCUGCUGCCCGGCUGCUUGGUGCAGGGCCUGAGCUUUCUGUGGUUCCGAGCAAAUGGACAUCAAGGUCAUUGCUUGUUGGUCAUGCUGCACGGCCUACAGCUUGGCAUGUGGAAGCGCAGCCUCGCUGGGUCCCAGUCUCAGAGCAGCUCCUCCAUCUCUUCCCACCACCCAGCAUCCAGCCGGCGUUCACCAUGCGGGGCCUCUGCUUCGUGCUCCUGACCUGCUUCAUCCUCUUUCCUCACUUUGCCACAGGUCCAGGAUGUAGACUCAGAGAAGGAGUGCUAUAAAAGAGAGGCCGAGUGUAAAUGGUUUUACUGCCCAGAAAAUCAUCACCAUCUUGGUACCUGUUGGUUUGGGAUAAAGAAAUGCUGUCUGCGCUGGGAAUGAGCUGAAGAACAUGGGAGGACAAGGAGCCCGGAGAAUGAAAUAAAGGCCUGACUGUAACUCUGAAAGUGCUGUGGUAUUAUUUCCCAAAAGUAAAGAAAUGACCUGUGCUGUAUUUGAAAAAAGUGAUUAUUACAUGUGACGGUGUCUGGGAGAGACGUGUGUGUGGAAGCAGAGAGGGAACUGACGCGUGCAAGGCGGGCCUAGGAGAGGGGAGGCCUGGCGUGCCUGAGAUGGUAGAUGCUUUUACAUGGAAAUGUUGGAGUUUCAGGUGUGUGCUGGAAGAGGGGAUUCAAGAUCCCUAAUUAUGGGAAGGUGACGGUGGUGUCCCCGUAUAUGGCAGAUGUGUGUGCAGGGGGAGAAAAGGAGGGACAUUCAAUCAGGAAUUCACCUUAUUCUGUGAGACCCCACCCUUAGAACAUAUAGGCUUAAAACACCCUGCUCUUGAGUAAGCUCAUGAUUACAUGGUGGGCAAGAGGAGCGGGGCUCAGGUGAGUGAUUCUUCUGGUCACAUCUACCAGGCAUUAGUCCCCUGGGUCUGUCAUAACAAAGCACCACAGCCUCGGUGGUUUAAGCAAUAAAAAUUGAUUUCCUCACAAUUAGAGGCUGGCAGUGCAAGGUCAAGAGGUCAGCGAGGCUGGCUUCUUCUGAGGCCUCUCUCUCUCACUUGCUGAGGGCUGACUUCUCCCUGUGUCUUCCCAUGGUCUUCCCGCUGUGCACACCUAUGUCCAGAUUUCCUCUUCUUGUCAGCACACCAAUCAUCCUGGCUUAGGGCCCACCCUAAUGACCUCAUUUUAAUUUAAUGGCCUCUUUAAAGACCUUUCACCAAAUAAGGUUACAUUCUGAGGUACUAGGGGUUAGGACCUCAACAUAUGAAUUUGGGGGGACACAAUUCAUCACAGAACACCUGGGCUUACUCCUACACCUGCAGUCAGCUUCCAGGUUGACUGGGGCUGCCUUCUGGCUGAGACAAUGGGAAACUCUGAGCUGAGUCUCGUCUCAUCUCAGACUCACCCAGGCUUGUUCUCAUCGUGGUUUCCAGGGUCUCAGCAGAACCAGAGGAACCACGCAAGGUGUCUUGAAGUCUAGGCUCAUAAGUGACCCCAAUGCUGUCUUCUCUUGACCAAAGCAAGGCAAAAGGCCAGGGCCACUCCAGAGUUAUGGAAACAGACUCCACCUGCAGACGGGAGGACAUGCAUAGUCACACCAUUGAGGUCCGAUUCAGGGAGAGAGGUACAAUGAUGGCCACUCUUCCAUCAACCACAAAGAGUAUCCUGGGCCCUUCUACCAAUAUGAGCCUGUGUGUUGUGUGAGGGGCUUAACUCGGCUCAGGAGAAGGCUCAGACCUUCACAAAUGCUGCCUUAGAGACAAGAUUCUCUGGACAACUGUCCAGAUGGAUCAAGGUUCUGCUCUGGAGACAAGACCCAGAGUCCUACCAAGUAUAGUCCAGGGCUGUGAUGCUGGUGGAGGAGCUUGCUGAAAAUAUCAUGCAUGACUAGUUCUUGUAGAGAAAAUCAGAAUUUUCUGGAGUCCUUCAUACUUAUUUUGCCCUUUAUACUGUACUGAUUUUUGGAAUUUUUAGAGGGCAGGGACCCUAUAAUGCCAUCUGUGCUGAAAGUCCCCGAAGGACUUCAUCCGGAUCUUUCCCUUCCCUGGGGACCUCUGUGUCAUUGGAGGCUAGUGUCUCUCUUUACACCCAGGACCAGGACUGAGUCGGGGAGGUGAAGGCGGGGUCUUUAACACCCCCAUCAUCUCCUGCAGGCUCCUCCCUACAGCUGACCAAGGAAGGAUGAACUAGAGAUAAAGCCGAGAACUUGCAAAACAAAUGCAGCUUCAAAAACAUCCCCCAAACCCUCCACCUCACUGCUCUGUCUAAAUGCUUCCUAUGUAGACCUCUGGAGCCCCCGCCUCUGCCCACAGCCCCUUAAUCAGAACACGCUCCAAGUCACAGCCUAACUCUCCUGCUGCAUCUGCCCCCUGCCCUCUCCUGCUGUCUAAUCAUCUCACCGCACACACCCUGCAUGUCCAUGCUGUGUUCAUGCCCACAGGGAAGGCCCUUCCCCAGCUUAAUUGUAGCUCCCCUUCCUGCUACCCAUGGGGCUUAUUCACCUCUUCCUCUGUUCUCCCUGAACAUCCAUCGAGCAGAGCUGUUGAAUCCUAAAGGGUGGAGGAGAGGAGAAGGGAAAGUCUGCACAAUGACUGGCUGAGGGAACAGGAUGUCUGCAAAUCACCAUCCUUUAUAACCGCAGACCCCUGCAUGCAUUCACACCACUGGUAUUUAUUGUGUUGCCUCUCUGCCAGGUCCUGGGAUGAAGGACUCAGAUAACAUCCCUCCUCCUGGUAUGACAUUCUAGUAGAGGCAGAUGGACAAUGAGAAAAUCAACUCAUUAAGUGACACCUGUGAUGAGAAGAAGAAAGCAGAGCAAGGGGAUGCCUAGUGUCCAUGAGGUGCUAUUUUAUACUGGGUGGCCUGCAUGAGCCUCUUUUUUGUGUUUUCUAUUGGUAAUUAAUGUCAGUUUGUUAUUAACACUCUCGGUAGGACCUGCACCAAGGAAUUCCUCCACCUCCUGUAAUAGCUCUUACAAAGGAGGAGAGAACAGCGAUGUCCUCAGACCCCCUGACACAGACACAGCACUGGACUCAGCCCGUUUACAGAUUGCUGGAGGGGAGGGAGCUGCCCGACAUUCCUCCCUCACUUCACCCCACAUCUUCAGGAAGGCUGCUGACUCAUGGGACAGAGUGGUCUGCUUCUCCCAGAGAUAUUGCCUGGUCUGUGAUGAGGGACAGUGUGGGCAUGAGCCAUUGCCCCAAACAUACUCACAGGUAGUUCCUUGUCUCUGGUAGGAGGAUGCUUCCAAAUUCGUCCAAACGAAACAUAUCUUGCAGUUGGGAGCCUGAGCUUCAUGAUCUCCAGAACUUUCCUGGCAGUUAAAUAUGCCCCUUUGGCAGCAUAUGCCCUUCACGUCAGCAGCACCCUCCCCGCUCAUGAUCCUCUCCUCCAAACAAGUUCAAAUGAGAUUCAGGCAGGAAAGGAUGGAGAGUCUGAGCAAGUCUUGAAAAGGGAGACACAUAAGCAGAAAGGUCCUAGAUCUGAGGUCAGCAGACACUGCAAAAUUGCUCUGGCCUGCAAUCCCUCUUCCUUCUGUGAGCUGGGACAGCCAUUUCAUGACGCUAUAACCACCACCUGGAUGCUGAAGGCAGGAGGAGAGACGGUGCUCAAGCAGAAUCCUGUGAUGUGGUAAAGGACAUACACUCUGGAAAUUUUCUCAAUACCUUCUCCCUUCAGUUGGGUUUUGAUGCUUCCUGGCCUUCUCCCCCGAUGCUCAUACAAUCCAUUAGCUUUUCUCAUCAUCUGCCUUCCAGUCAGCUCUAUCCAUGGAUCCUAGGCACAACCCCGUGGUAAGGGGGAGCUGGGGUGACUUUCCUCUCACUACUUACUUCACUGCACCGUGCCACAUAGGAGCAACCUUUGAGUCACUAGAGUUUUGAAGAUUGUGUCUCUAUAGAAUCUGAACUAGAAAUUUCUACAGGGAGAAUUCCACAGGGAGGGAACUGGAUGAAAGAGUUGGAGAACUCAAAAAGCAAAACAGGAAGAGUGGGGAGACAACCACAGCAUGCAGCCCCCACCCCAAGGACUGGGAGAACAGUGUUAAAACAUUUGGGUUACCAGAACCCAGGGACUCGGAGAAGGACCCUCACCCAGCUGCAAGCCUGCCUCUCUGGGAGCUCUUCUGGGGCACCACAUGCUGGCUCCAGGAGUACCAACAGAGACAGCCUGGAAGCAUCAAAGCUCCAGGGCGGAGAGCCAUUGCUGGGGCAUCCAGAACAGGGGCAGGAAGCCAGCAGAAAGAGCAAUCACCCUCUCCUCCUCUUCCUUCCCGUCU
ensembl:lncRNA